rnacentral:tRNA from 1 species
GUUUCUGUAGUGUAGCGGUUAUCACGUUCGCCUCAGAUGCGAAUAGUCCCCGUUUCGAGACCGGGCAGAAACA